ACGCCUCGACACCUACGGAGGCGAGCGGGUGGGGAAAGUAUUGCACAAUGGGGGAAACCCUGAUGCAGCGACGCCGCGUGGAGGAAGAAGGUCUUCGGAUUGUAAACUCCUGUUGUUGGGGAAAAAGAGGAUGGUACCCAACAAGGAAGUGACGGCUAACUACGUGCUAGCAGCCGCGGUAAUCUGAGCGGGCUGGCAAGGC
rnacentral:rRNA from 1 species